rnacentral:rRNA from 1 species
UACGGGGGGAGCAAGCGUUGUUCGGAUUUACUGGGCGUAAAGGGCGCGUAGGCGGUCAGCACAAGUCAGUUGUGAAAUCUCCGGGCUUAACUCGGAAAGGUCAACUGAUACUGUGCGACUAGAGUGCAGAAGGGGCAACUGGAAUUCUCGGUGUAGCGGUGAAAUGCGUAGAUAUCAAGAGGAACACCUGAGGUGAAGACGGGUUGCUGGGCCAACACUGACGCUGAGGCGCGAAAGCCAGGGGAGCAAACGGG